GGAAGCCAACCCAGUAUGCCUGCAGCUGCAAAUUGCCAGGUAGGCUACAAAGGAUAUAUAGUGCAGGUCAUAUGAUGCAGCAGCAUCAAGUACAAAAUCCAGGAAUGCAGCAGGAUCUACCUAAAGUUGUGAUUGUCUAGGGACAGGAACCACUUACUGCCACCAUGUUGGCUACAGCUCCGCCACAGGAGCAGAAGCAAAUGUUAGGAGACCGCUUAUUCCCUCUCAUCUCCAGUAUGUUCCCAGACAUGGCUGGAAAGAUCACAGGCAUGUUGCUGGAACUCGACAACUCCGAGCUGCUGCACAUGAUGAAAUAUCAGGAGUCACUAGAGGCUAAGGUUAAGGAAGCUGUAGGUUUGUUGUAAGCUCAUCAAGCUAAAGAAAGAGAAGCAACGGCUAAUCCAG